rnacentral:rRNA from 1 species
CCUACGGGUGGCAGCAGUGGGGAAUAUUGCGCAAUGGGCGAAAGCCUGACGCCGCGACGCCGCGUGAGGGAUGAAGGUCUUCGGAUCGUAAACCUCUGUCAGCAGGGAAGAACGGUCACUGUGCUAAUCAGCAGUGCAUUGACGGUACCUGCAAAGGAAGCACCGGCUAACUCAGUGCCAGCAGCCGCGGUAAUACGGAGGGUGCGAGCGUUAAUCGGAAUUACUGGGCGUAAAGCGCUCGAAGGCGGUAUGUCAAGUCAAGGGUGAAAUCCCCGCGCUCAACGUGGGAACGGCCGUUGAAACUGGCAAACUGGAGUGUGUGAGAGGAUAGUGGAAUUCCAGGUGUAGGAGUGAAAUCCGGAGAUAUCUGGAGGAACAUCAGUGGCGAAGGCGACUAUCUGGCACAUAACUGACGCUGAGGAGCGAAAGCGUGGGUAGCAAACAGGAUUAGAUACCCCGGUAGUC